CGCUUCUGUGUACCCAUCGUUAUUCCAAGAGGGGCCAAGACUUGGGGAUCAUACCCUGAACUGCUGUGUCCCUUCCGCCACCUCGUCCGUUUAACCGGUGUUUCCUGGCUACGUUCUCUACACCUCCAAAUUCGCUCUCCUGCUUUCUGGCCAACCUUCCACUCAUCCUUUCAAUUCCCUCCUCCUUGUAUUUCCGGACAUCGAAUUCUUCUCUCCAGAUUUUUUAAAUCGAGGUGAAACAAAUAAACUACAGAAUGGGAUACUGGAAUACCGAGAUCAAGCGCUGCUGCCUCUCCCCCAACCUUCCUCGAGCUACGAGAUCGAAUGUCUCUCUGUCGAAUUUGACUGUAGCAACAUUACUUACACCUUAGCCCGUGUCUGCCUGAGACACAACAACUACAUCGACCCAGGACUCUCCCACGUUUACAGAGAGCAACGAUCUGCUGACAACUAUACAGUACAUUCUGCGAAGUCUCCAUCGCUCGUCCACCCAAGAGCUACCCACUUGUCCAUGGUUGACGAAGAACCUCUGAAGGCAUUGAAGGUGGAGGUAGAGGAGGAGAUUCAGCACAUGACGCUGAGCCGGGAAGAAGCAAGCAAGAUGCUGCAGUCGAAGCGUCGCUUCCGGAGGGAUGGAGUGACGAGAACUCUUAGGGAGAAGUGCUGCAGGCUCGAAAACGAACACCCCAGACACUGAAACUUCGAGGAAGUGGCCGAAUACCGAAUAUAGCAUUGAACUGCGUCCCGGCGUCAACACCUACGACAACUCCAGGUAGGAGGUCUGAAGGAUCAUCCCGUCCAUGUUAUACCUGACAUGAGAUGUUUCAAGUCGAUUCACAGUCUUCGAGAUUGCAACAUGACUUUCGUGAUGUAGAAUGACCUACUAAAGCUGUCUUUUGUCUUUCCUCACAGUCAACUGAAAUAUUUUUUACCUUACCCUUCCUUACCUUCAGCUAAAUUAAUCUUUUGUCUCAGCUUUAAAUUCAACAUUCGUCUCCCCUUACCCUUAGUUCAGCCAAUGGCUCCUGUUUAUCUUACCUUUAACAUUCACAAAGGUUUGUGUUGUCUUACCCUCGGCUGAAACUUUCUAUUGUCCCACCUUUAUCUUCCACUGAAUCUUUCUAUUGACUUCCCGCUACUUUCUUUAGUCACACUUCCUUUCAGCCAGGGAUUUGUUUUGUUUUUUUGACACUUUUACCUUCAGCUAAAGGUUCCUUUUACCCUUGCAUGUAACUAAAGGUUCCUUUUGUCUCAGCCUUGCCUUCAGCUAAAGGUUCCUUUUACCCUUCCAAGCAGCUAAAGGUUCCUUCUGUCUGAACCUUGCCUUCAGAUAAAGGUUCCUUUUACCCUUGCAUGCAGCUAAAGGUUCCUUUUGUUUGAACCUUGCCUUCAGCUCAACUCUCGUUUACCUUUAGCUAAAUUUUCUUCUGCUGGACCUUCGCCAAACGUUCUAGUGUUUUACCUUUACACGCAACAGCAUCUAGACAUUUUCGAACAAUAAACAUCUUGCAUUAUUGGCGAUUCUUGUCAACGUUUCCGAAAAAUUGUUCGAUACAGCAGUUAUUCGUCAAAUAAAUGCUUUUGAGAUUAC